CUUCCACGAUACUCAGUUAGUCACGAUCCUUGCAUCGUGGUGUGAUUCACCCUUCGGUCUGGGUACUACCUGUCGACGAAAAUCAUGCAAGUGUGUCACUAGGCCGAGAGAAACUGACACGUGAUCUUUAUACUUUGUGCGCCGGGUUCAUCCGGCACCUAUCAUUCUAUCGUAUCUUAUGUCCUUUAUAUCGUAUCUUUCUUCCUUAUUUGUGCGAAUCAUUUUUAAUUAGUUUUAAUGGAAACAUUUUGCGACUAAACGAGCACGGAUUUUCGCGCGAGAAGAUUAUUUAUGAUUAUUUAAUCGUCAACAUGUUCAUCUUAUAUUUUUCAUAUUAAUUUAGGUUUACAUUAUAAUCAAAAUAUGGAGAGACGCCGAUCCGUCAAUGGCAUACUCAACGAACACACUUUACCCAUUCCCGUUCAGAUUUUCCUCUGGCGACAGCUGAGGCCUUUCAUACGAAUGAAACUUGGGAAAGUACAUGAAGCAUCUUGCACGCAUUGCCAACACGUGCCAGGUCAUCACGAGAUGAAAGAAGCAUGCACGUCUUUAGAGAAAGUGUUGGUCCAAAAUCUUCACAAUGAUCUGCCGCCAUCGUUGAGCACGAUAUUGGGCGCGGUGCCACGUUGGCGUUUGAUUCAAGCCGCUUUACCUUACGUUCUUCACGCGACAGCCAACCUUUUGCACAAUAGGAAGGAUCUUCAAAGUCUUGGCGCAAUGGAAACAACCCUUCUUUAUAUCCUUCAUUGGAUUCUUCUUGAUUCGGCUGAGGAGUGUAUCGAAACUGAAUCAGAUUCCGCAAAUCCUUUUCAAUAUUUAUUCUCGAUACCAACUAUGACGCUGUUCGUAUAUCUUUUUGCUCCUCUCUGUAAUUAUUUAAAAGACAUUGAUUUCAAGACAAAUCUGAGAUUGGAAAAUGGAUCGAAGAUAUGGACUGCCUUGUACGAAUGUCGGCAUCCCGAUACGGCUUGCUUCACCACUCAUUGUCGUAUCAAACCUCCUGUAUUGUGGAAUCGAUCGUUCAAGUUUGUGCAACAUCAUCAAUUGCCAGACGACGUUUUUGUCGGUGGAAACAACGAAAGUCCACCUAGUCAAUCAGUGGGUCCUACGGUGACCGAUCAAAAUAUUCCUCAGAAUGUUUCUCAGACUGUAACAAAACAAGACGAGGAAAGCACUUGGGUAUCAUCGCCAAAAGAUACUGCGUUUCCAGAAACGAUACCCGAAGAAAGUUCAGGUGGCGAAGAUGAACACGUGGUUAUAUUCAGAUUAUCAUCAUUAGGUGAAUCCGAUAGAGGUAUCGAUGGAGUAAAAGAAGUGUCAACCAUAUUCGCAGAUGAAACCAGCAUAUUUCACGUUGCCAUGGGUAGAAGUACCGGUUCUUCUAAGUCAACGCUUACGAUAGAGAAAGUAACAGCAAUUUCCGGACUGGACACUUGUAAACAAUAUUUCAGGAAACCUUCUCAAAGAGCAAGUGGUGAAAAAGAGAAGGAGAAAGAGAAAGAGGAAAAGCCAGCUAAGACGGAUAAGGAGGUAGAAAAGGAAAAGGAAAAGGAAAAGGAAAAGGAAAAGGAAAAGGAGAAGGAGAAAAGUACUUCGAAAUCCUCAACUCAACAACAAAAUUCGCCAACCGAUACUUCGGGACAAACUGCUGAACAUAUUCUCGAAGUUGAUAUUCGGGCAGCAACGUUUCUCGACGUGGCCGUUCUCAGAUGUCUUUUUGUUUCUCAAUGGCAAGAGGAGGGUGUAUUUUGGGCGUUACAAUUUUUAUACCAUCGAUUACGCAGAAUAAACGAGGACAGUUCGGUGCAACAGAUGCCUCGUCGUCGUAGCAAUUCCUUACCGAUACCCAAAAUCGAGGUCUCUAUUUAUCAGAGUCCUGAGAGUAAGAAAAAAGACGUUUCGAAAGAUUUCAUUGAGAUACCAGAAGUACGAGAUGUCUCUUUGCUGGCGGAAUUACCAUGCCUGACCUGCAAAGGUCACGAGGGAGAGUCCAGUCAUACGAGACGUGCCAGCGAAAAGACGAAAAAACGUAUGAAGAUGGCUGACCUAAAAGCUUUCGUCGAGACUAAGAUUUUAUCCAAAUCGGAGAAAGCUCUUGAAAAGAUUGGUCAGGAAGACGCUAAAAUGUUAUUCGAACAGGAUAGUCAUAGGAGUCUCGAUACAGGUGAUGACCAAUUGACAAGACCAACGUCAACUAGCUCAAAAAUCUUUGAGGCUAAGGAUGUAGAUCGUAUGAAACAUCCGACUAAUUUAGUUAAAGGAAAAAGCAUGCCAAGUUUAAGCUGCUUGAUUAACGAGCUGACCGCGGGAGGGUACAUUGGUGACACUCGUAUCGAGAGGAAACAAAGUCGGUUUUAUAGCCAAUCUUACACCGCACCAAAUCCUAUUAUUACCGUCACGGAACACACGCCUACUCCAUCGCCAGAAUACAUGAAACGAAUGCAGGGAUCGAUCGAUAGUCAAUUAGAUGCUAUCAGCAUACUCGGUGGAAGAUUGGAUUUCGAAAGGAAACCGAGCCUUACCAGAUCUCAAACAGAUUCUAAUAUUACUUACAUGAGUGACGAAGUGCCAGAAGCACCUGGUUCAGGUAGUUAUAUCACUAAAGAGGGUGAUAUCGAUUACCAAGUAGUUCUCAAGGCUGUUAAUUCAGUUGCAUUACGUGACAAUACUUGUUGCACGGCUCGCGUUUGCGAAAGUAUUCUGAACCUCGUUGAACUUUUAAUGGACAUGGGUGUGAUGAAGCAAUGUCUUCGCGAUGAGACCACGGGCAGUAAUCUAGGGUCCGGCACGGGAAUGGACAAAUCGGAAACCUUACGAAAACACGAUUCUCCAGUGAACGAUCAAGAAAUUAGACACGAUUCAAAUGGAAAGAAUAAAUCAACAGCUCAUAAUCUUCUAAUGAAUUGCGCUAUCAGAGUACUAAGGCAUUUGGGUUGUCCGCACGGAUGUUCCGACGGAAUUCGUGGACCCCACGCAGAUUUCUGUCGUUCCCAAGGACAAACGAUUUUAGGAAAAUUACAUCGAGCAAGUUUCAAACAAUUUUCGAAAUUUCUGAGGACGAUGAUACGCGAACAACCAAUCUCGGAAAUUUUAGACUUUUUUCACGCGUACGUUGGCUUCUGCGUAGAUCCAACUUCGUUGCUAUCUCCGCUGAUUUUUCAAUUUGCAACAGAUCAAAAACGGGGUUCGAACAAGUCACCGGAUGUUGCGUCCCAAGGUGGCUACGCCACGAAUUUCGGUGCUGGUAUGAUAGGCAGUGUUAGUGGCAACGUUGGUACUGCGAAUACUACGUCUCAUACAGGGGCAACAAGUACAGGAACAACUAAUAUCGUACCAGUGACCGCAUCCUAUGGUACUGGUAAUUAUGGUGCUCGUGGCAUCGAGGGUCAAAUAAUGAAUUGUGUUUUCAAGACUCUUGUGACUCGAUUUAUUCAAACUGCUAAAGAGUGGAGAUCCCACGAGAAUAUUGCCAUUUAUUGCGAUCUGAGGCAAUUCAUGACUUACGUUAAAGAAGCUCACGGUGGCAUAUUUCGGCGUGUUGCUUUAAGCGGCAUUUUAGAUUCAACCGAUCGUCCCAACAAACGUUGCAACAGCAAAGUUCGAACAACUCGCGUGAUCAGACACAUACACCAAUCUGAUUUGGAAGAGCACGCGGAUAUUGGCGGUGAUACCUGUUUCACGGUCGAUGACAGAGGUACUAGAAAAUUUUUAUUUAAGAAGAGAAGUACUUCUUCGACAUGUGCAAGCCUACUUGAAACUGAAUUGAACGAAGAGAAUUCGAAAAUAAGUCAGAGUCCAUUAGGUAAUUUGCGAAAGAAACAUCACGUAUUAACGCCUAGACAAAGCGAACGCAACUUAGGAAUUGGAGAUUCUUGUUUCAUGGCAGGAAAAAUACGAAAAUCAACUCGUUUUCAAAUUGGGGGUAUUGUCAAUUGGUUUCGAAAGGAGUACGGAAGAACUGAUUCCACAGAUAGUCAUGAAAGUAGCGAGUCACCAACGGAUGGUAGUUUUGUAAGACAACCGAGUUUGCAUUAUGGUCAUCACCGAAGUACUUCUCGAACGAGUCGUGGAGUUGGACAAACCUUACAAAAGGCGCGGCGUCGUAUGGAAGAUCAAUUGAACAAAAUUGGUUUUGGUAAAAGCAAAAAGAAGGAAAGUUUGGAAGAGCCACCAGGUAGCUAUUUUAGUAGAAGAAAUUCCAUGGAACUGGGUGAAGCUUCAAGGGAAUCCGAAUUUGUAGUUUUUAAAGAAAGAAGAUUGGUACCUCUAUCGUCUAUCUACGAUGGAAUGUUGAGAUUUUCUUUCCUUUUGGAAACAUGUCAACCUGGCACUUUCCCCGACCAUCAUUUGAUGGCUGCUAUAUUAGAUCUCCCUUACGCACCUGUGGUUUCUCGUGCCUGUUUGAUAUUGGAAUGUGCCCAUUUUGUGCAUCAAUGCAACAAAGGGCAUUGGCCGACGUGGAUGAAAGUUAACUUUCCUAUUUUUCGACCAUCCGUUCCGAUGAAUAAUCGUAAUGCAUCGGCUGCUAUGAGACGAAUCCAUAUGUUGCAGAGAACUGCGGGAAAAUUAUUUUAUCAGUGGGCAGAGGCAAUAGGCGCGAGAUUGGAGGAAUUAUUGAUCGAGGAUAAACAAAAUAUCGACCAGGUCAUUUCUAUGGUUUCUGAUGAAAGUAAGCAACGUGAUUUGAUCAUCGAAGACGAAGAAGAGGAUUUCCUUGACGAAGCUAGUAUUAAUUGUUACGGAUCGCAGUGUCCAAUAGCAUUGCGUUUGGUUGCGUGUAUUCUUCUUUUGGAAGUAACAGCUUUUCUAAGAGAAACUUAUCAGACGUUACCAAAAUCCAGUAAACUUUUAACCAAGGAACGUCCACCUCCUUGGGACAGAAUGUACAGCAGAGAAGCAAAUCGAAGAUGGAGCGUAGCUCUUUCAUCGAUGGGCCAUUCUCAAACUUCGGCCCAGAGUCUUCAAUCGAUUGCUGGAGAUCGUGAAAUGGCCACCGAACGUAAGAUCAGUUUCGUUCUCUACGAACCUGACAACGAAUCAGAAGGAAGCAGUAAAUCAACAGUUACGAUUCAAGGAGAAGAACAGAAUAUUGAUAAAGAUAAAGGUAAACGGGCACAGGCACAUCAAAGUAGGCCAAUUUUAUUGCGCCGUGGUACUGGCGGUACCACCACUGGUUCAUUCAAAAAGAGAAGCUUAAAACUUCGACGUGGAACCAAAGAGGGCAAGGAUACAGAAUGCGAAGCAUAUACAGUUAAACGAGCAGAUUCUAUACAAUCGAAAAGAAAAGUAAGUUCAUUGUCCGACAGAAGUGACACUUCUGAACCCGGUUGUUUAGGUGGCGAGGCCAGUGGUGAAGAAUCUCCUGGGAUUCUCAGCGAUGAUCAGCCUCCUGAAAGCCCAAGCGACAGCAAUGAAACUGAUGAGACCAAUAAAAAUUUUCCUUGGAUGAAGGUGCUAGUACAAGUAUCGAAUUCCUUUAACUUUUAUUGCUCCCAUCAAAAUUUCUGCCAUCCGUUUUGUCAUCGUCGUCAAAUGCGUGCUAGCAGUAGACUAAUCAAAUCCGUUAAGAAGAUUUACGGCGAGAAAUUUGGAAUAUUGAACGGCACAGGUAUGUUCGAUGUUGAUACCGAUAAAAAAGAGGAUGGCAAGAAAGAUAAACGAAGCCGUAAGGUUUCCGAACAAACUAGCACCCAAGUAUCACCCGUUCGAAGAAAAGAUAGCGUAGGACGAAAGUACAAAAUUGACAAGAACAUGGACGGAUCCCAAUCAGGUCGAUUAUAUCAAAGAGAUUCCUCCAAGGAUUUGGCGGAACAAGAUUCAUCCGACAAAGGAAAGGAGUCGUCGAAAAUCUUAAAAGUAAAAGCCGAUUCCGAAGCAGAAACCCCAGCGAUUCUAAAAUACAUAAAAACACAAGUAAAGGAUGCUUUCCACGCUCCUAUAGCGACUCUGGUAAAAGGUGCAGUUGUGAUGACCGAGGAUUUGUUCGUGGACGUUCUACCCAUUGCUUGGGAACUUUUGUUAGAGUCCAAUCAAGAAGUAGCUGCUUCGGCAGCAUCUCUGUUCAUAGUGGCAGCUGUGCGAGCUCCGAAUCAAGCCAGCGAAAUAAUGAACAACGGUCUUCAACAUAGUAAUUCCUCGGUGCGAAUAAAUGCCAUCUUGAGAUUUCAAGUUUUGUGGAAAUUACGUUAUCAGGUGUGGCCAAGAAUGGAAGAAGCAGCUCACGUUACUUUUAAAGUUCCACCACCUGGAAUUGAAUUUACUUUGCCAUCUCCGAAAAUUGGGAUCGAAUCUUUACCAGUGGUUGACCCACCUUGGAUGCCUCAAGUUAAAACUAAAGUUGAAGAAGUUACCAUUAAUCAGGAGCGUCAUAGAUCAUUGGUGACGGCAACAAAAACUCGAAAGAAACAACAGACUGAGUUAAUUAAAAGGGCUUUACAAGCUCAAGACGAUAAAAAGAGAGAGGAAAGAGAAAAUUUUUUAAUAACAACGAUCCCAAUUACUGUUCAAGCCGCAUACGAACCUAGCCCAGUAGGAGAUGAUCAUGAUGAAGAUUUAGGUAAUGUUGGAGAUGAGGAUGGGGCUGAGGCGAUACCUAGGAAUACUCAACAUCAUGGUCAAUCAGCCCUGUCGUUAUUUCCAUCCUCAUUGUGUUCUGCUAUUGUUCAGAUCAUAAACUUACUUGAUAACGCCGCGGUAUCUGAUGAUGGAAACGCGGUUUAUGAAGUUGCAUAUCAGGUGAUUUGGGGAUGUCUUGUAGAAGACAGUGCACUCUUCCUUCGUUACGUUUUGGAACGUCUUACAAGGGAUAAACAAGAAUUAAUGUUUAAGAUUUUACGACACCUAAUUAGAUUUGUCCCAAAACUACCACAGCAAGCAGCCUUUGCUUUAUACAAUUACAUUAUAGGAUAUGUGAUGUUUUACGUUCGUUCUCCUCACGAAGAAGGCCAGAAAUUAAUUGGUACUGCUCUAUCUAUUUUAUGGAUGGUCGUUCAUAGUGUACAUGGCAUAAUGUUCAAGGAUUUAAAACAAAUUCUUCGUAAGGAACAAUGCGAUGCAUCAAUUUUGUUAACAGCAAACGUUCCUUCAGCAAAAAAGAUUAUUGUUCAUGGCCCUCAGGAUCCUGACGCUGCUGGAAUUCCAUCUCAAUUUCCGGUACAGGAAGAUACACAGUUUUGUCAAAUAUUAAGGGAAUCGUUGGACUUUUUUGGAAUCAAGGAACCUAAGCACAAAGAAUACUUUCUUGUUGACUAUAAAACACAUCAAAUACACAAUCCAUCAUCUUACGUCCGAGAUUAUUACUUUUUUAAAAGAUCUCAGUAUCCGCAGAUCCAAUUGGUUUACAUGAAACCGGAAGAUGCAUUUAAUGCGCUACAACGACGAGAGCUUGUUCACAAGUUCGUUGAAAUUGGAAAAGUUUUGCUGACGUGGGCAAUCCUGAAGAACGUUGACAUGGUCGUACAGAGAGUCGUAUUUCUACACGAAGAACUCAUGAAGUUACCAUCCUUUCCUAGAAAAGCCUUGGAAGCGGACUUGGAUCUUUACAAGGGCGGUGAAAUAGGAAGAGAACUUCUCGGAUUAGACGUGAUGCACAAAUUCAUGUGGGUUAGACUGAUAGCCAGGAUGUUCGAAGCAAUGGCUGGAAAUUUUGCUUACUCGGGAGACAUUCAUUUAUUUUUAAACGUGUUGAAUGGUGCCGUUAUACUUCACAGCGAGGACUCCUGCAUUUUACGAUACGUUAUUGCCACUUAUAUAAAUGCCGCGCAUAAUUUUAAAAAUAUCUUUUCAACCAAUGGUUAUCUCUUGAUAAUGCCAACGUUGUUACAAUUGUACGCGACUCAUCAAGCUAACAAAUUGGUUACCACAACGGUGGAGUAUGCGGUUAAACAAUUUUACUUGAUGAAUAGGAAACCAUUUAUUCUUCAAAUGUUUGGAAGCGUGUCAACGAUAUUGGAUACCGACGAGACAAGUAUUCAUGGGGAAGCUCACAAAGUACCUUCGACUUGUUUAUUCAACCUGUUACUGAGUUUGGAAACACCAUCACCCGAUCCUUUAAAUAUUGGAGAACUGGUGAAGGAAGAAAAGCCUUUGAAAGCUAUUGACUUUUGUUACCAUGAUGAGAAUGAAAUGGUUACUGUUCUGGAUUGCAUAUCGCUCUGUGUUAUGGUCAUUGCUUACUCUGCUGACUCCAUUCGAGGACAACAAAUGCUGAUAAUACUAGAAGCAAUAUUGCCAUGUUACGUCCAACAAAUUCAAUCUCCUACUUACAACAAGGAAGGAAAAACAGAAAAAGAAAUAAUCAAUCAAUUGGCUAUAGCAGUUAAAACAUUGGUUAAUAAUUCAGAGGCUCUAACGAAGUACUAUAAUGGACCACAAAAGUCAAGUCCCGAACACAAGGGAUCCAGUCAAAGGAAUUACGGUAAAGGUCCUUACUCUCCAGGUGUUGAUUUUGAGGAUGAUCCACAUCCCACCAAAUACAUCGAACAUUCCAAAGUGAGAAAUUUUUACGAUCGCGAUGACGACGCUGAGAGUUCUCAUAAAAAUGAAUUCAGGAGACCGCGCGAUACUUUGCUCAAUAUGGUGGGCGAAUUCGUUGCACGUUGCACCAUACGUUUGACGGAAUUGAACAAGAAAUCUCAGGAUGGUAAAACGAUUGAGUUACUUGAUUCCAAAUGUCACGUGCGAUUAGCCGACAUUGCUCAUAGUCUUUUAAAAAUUGCCCCUUACGAUGCUGGAACAAUGGGUUGCCGUGGUUUAAGAAGAUACAUGAACGACAUAUUACCUUCCACCGAAUGGUCCAACGAUGAUAUGAGACCAGCUUUGACCAUUAUUUUACGACGACUUGAUAAAACCUUUAGCAAGAUCCAUAAAAAAGCAUCGAUCAGACGAAAUAUUAAUUGGACUGCAGCCAGUGAUCUUUUGAAAGGCGUUUAUGAAACCCUGGCAAGGUGUCCCUAUAUAGCACACUUUCAAUAUUUGAAAACUUUAUUAAGUACAUGCCAGUCUCUAAUUAUUGGCGAUACACCACCUGAAGAUGUCACAUCUGCCUCGUCGGCUGCGCUAAUGAGUAAAAUACCGCCACAAUACUUUUGUUCAACCGUUUUACGUCUAAUAGCGUUACACGUGAUUUCUCUCGGUGAGGGCUACUCUUUGGAAAAUGUUUGCAACGGUCAAGCCAUGUUUUCUAAUCAGACGAAAACAGAAAAUAUGCUUCUCAAUUUAUUAAUACCAUUAUUUUUACGCGUUGGAACCGGGAGGAAAGAUGUUCCAAAGCUGAGACAAUCGGAUAUAAGUUUUGCAUUAACGGCGGUUCUGAACACCCUCUGGCCCCCAACGAAGGCGACACCAGUAACUGUUCAGACUUUAAAAACCACUGCGGAUGCCAGACCUGGUAGUCUAACUUUCGCAGCUAGAGAUUCGAAAACGUUAACUAAAACAUCGUUAACUUUGUAUCAAGUUGCCUUUUUAGGUUGGUCAAACGCCUAUUUCCGAUCACGAGAGAACUAUGCAUAGUAUAAUACGUGAGAAAAUCAACGGUAAUUCUACGACUGUCCCUAAAUCUCGGGGAACUCUUCUGACAGACCUCAUUCACGAACUGAAGGAUCUCAAAGAGGAAAUAGAAAAUCGACGAUUUGAUGAAUUACAACCUGAACCGAAACGAAGUGUCGCUGAUAUGCAUGCCAGUGAAGGUCAACCUCGUACUCAAAGACCAUCCCUAUUGAUUGAAUUGUUAACAGGAGCAGGAGAUUUGGGCUCGCGAACUCACAUGAAUCGGACUCCGACUGAAACUCCAGUAUCUCAUUCAGCUACUGUAUCACAAUCGAUACCACAUUCAACUCUACAAACAGGUCAUUCGAGUAGUACUAUCAAGACAUCGGCACCUAGUCAUGUUCCGUCAAAUGGUACACAUAUUGCUCGUGGAUCUAUUUCGAGCACAAGCGUAGGAUCGUCAACUUUACGCGAGACAAGUGAUAUGACCGGUAUCGGAGAAUUUAGCAGCGAAAGACAAG
rnacentral:misc_RNA from 1 species